AUGGCUCAGGAUGAACGCUAGCGACAGGCUUAACACAUGCAAGUCGAGGGGCAGCAUAAAAGUAGCAAUACUUGGUGGCGACCGGCGCACGGGUGAGUAACGCGUAUGCAACCUACCUAUCAGAGGGGAAUAACCCGGCGAAAGUCGGACUAAUACCGCAUAAAACAGGGGCACCGCAUGGUGAUAUUUGUUAAAGAAAUUCGCUGAUAGAUGGGCAUGCGUUCCAUUAGGUAGUUGGUGAGGUAACGGCUCACCAAGCCGACGAUGGAUAGGGGAACUGAGAGGUUGGUCCCCCACACUGGUACUGAGACACGGACCAGACUCCUACGGGAGGCAGCAGUGAGGAAUAUUGGUCAAUGGGCGAGAGCCUGAACCAGCCAAGUCGCGUGAAGGAAAAGAAGGAUCUAUGGUUCGUAAACUUCUUUUGCAGGGGAAUAAAGUGCAGGACGUGUCCUGUUUUGUAUGUACCCUGAGAAUAAGGAUCGGCUAACUCCGUGCCAGCAGCUGC
rnacentral:rRNA from 1 species